rnacentral:lncRNA from 1 species
CAAAUUUGAAUUAAUGGGUCAGUAAGCAAUAUGAAUUUGAAUUAAUCAGUGAGUGAGUUUUUGAACAUAUGAUAAAAAAGAAAGAGAGAUCCCGGCCCGCAUGUUAGUUGAAACAGGGUCUACCUAUCUCCAAUAAAAUACUACCAAGUAAUGAUCAUAUAUAGUAGCUUUCCAUUUCAAUGGUGUAGAAAGCUAAACCAAGGGAAAGGAUUCCUGCAGUCCAAGUUAAGCAGUAGUGGUCCUAACCGGAGUGCUUUCCAAAAAUGGUUCUUUCUUUUCUUUUACUUCGCAUAUUAGGGUAUAUCUUUGAGUGACGGAAAUCAAAUGAUGAUUACUUAGUUGAUGCUCAUAAUGUGUCUCUACUUAUAUGUCUCUAUAGCAGUGAAACUUGUGUGGCAGUCGCUUUGACUGACAUGUACUAACGAUAUCGAAUUGCCAUUGGAGGAAAACAAGUGUUAAAGUACUGAGGUGUGAAGACCAACCCAGAUCGGCUUUUUGGAUUUUCAUGUAAGUUGUUCACUCCUAUGUCUCUGUCAGUCAUUCAAUUCUCAACUCUAUUUUUUUUUUUUUAAUAACUAUAGUGUCCCGACUAACUUGCGUAUUAAUUUCACAGAUCACAAUAGACUUCCAGCAGCAUAACUCUGUCCUACAAAAUUUGGACAAAAAUAUAUACAUGUCUGUUUACAUUCUUGACAUAUAAGCCAAAUUAUUUAAUUUGUUACUGAAACAUAUUUGCGAUGCGUGCAGCGACCCUCAAGUCAUUACUUUCUAAAAGAAACUAAUGUCUUUAAUUGGGAUGGAUGACAAUGAACUUGAAGUGGAUGGAAAAGCUAUUGAGAUGUGGAAAAGCAUGUCAAAGGAGGUACUUCAUUUGGAUCUAUUGAUGGUACUAUAGCUUUUAUUUGUGUUUCUUACUCAUUACUGUGCUCUUGUAUGAAUUAAAUAUGAAAUGUGUUUGAAUCACCAGAUAUUGGGUUCUUCACAUUAUAAAUUUUUAUUGUUAUUUAAUAUUUUGCUGGUUUGUUAGACGACUAGAUUUUUCUGCUCUUAAUUGACUAACUAUAUGGCAUCCAUUAUUGGAUUUUCUGGCGAUGAACAACAACAAUAACCCAGUAUAAUCCCACUAGUGUGGUAGUGUGUACGCAGACCUUAUCCCUACCAUGAGGUAGAGAGGCUGUUUCCAAUAGAAACUCGGCAUCCCUCCCUCUAAGAACUCCCCACCUUACUCUUGGGGUGACUCGAACUCACAACCUCUUGGUUGGAAGUGGAGGUUGCUUACCAUCAUAGCAACCCCUCUUACCAUCUUGGCGAUGAACAACUUAAUAUUAUUUGGAGAAAUCCAAAUUUCAGCCUUGGCGAAUAUAACCAAUGGAAGAGGAGCACUAUUGCAUUACAUCUUUGACGUGACUAAUUAAUGGCUUCGCACUUAAGUUGUGUGUAAACAAAUACUAUGUGGGUGCGUCAAUAUCUGAUGUCUUCAAUAUACAUCAGCCUCUAUUUGGAUCCUAUUAACCUAUAAGUAAAUAUGAUUAUAUCUCUUAAAAUUUUGUAAGAAAAUUUAUACAUUUUCAGUGACUAUCAUAUUUGACUGAGGGCAUUUUUUCUAUUAAGCUUAAUAAGCUUUAUACACCGACGAUGUAAAAAAAAAAAUAUAUAUUUAAAUAAUCAGAUCAAUCAAUGAUGUAAUUAUAUAUAUAUAUAAAAUCUUUCUGAUAUAUAAUAAGUAUCUAAUAUAAUAAGUUAAACUCUACUCAUUCAUUCAAAAUCUUUUCACUGUAAGUGCAUAUAGAUUCUCCUAGUUUAUGCUCCUUGUGGCUAAUAUAUAACACUUCUUUUCUGAAACAGGAAACUGUGUUCCCAUGGAUGCCGAGAAAAAUCUCUUGAGACAAAAAUGGUACGUUCCAUGCUCUUCUACUGUCCAACAUCUCUGGACUGAUACAUGGGACCUUCAUGAUUAUGGAAGGCAAGUCAAGAUGUGGCUAUUGUGAGCAGUACGUAGUUAUUCUAGAAGUUAAUGGUAAUGUAUAAAUAGUAUAUUUUGAAAAGUGCAUGUUCAUUUGAUGGACUUCAAGAAUCAUAUGGUUGUAUUUUGGAAAUGAUAGUGGAUCAUGAAUUCAUUUCAUGGGCAAAAAGAAAUACACGUACCUAUUUUGGAGAUAAC